GACGAACGCUGGCGGCGUGCUUAACACAUGCAAGUCGAACGGUGAAGCGCCUUCCUUUUUGGUGGGUGUGGAUGAGUGGCGAACGGGUGAGUAACACGUGAGUAACCUGCCCCCUUCUUCUGGAUAACCGCAUGAAAGUGUGGCUAAUACGGGAUAUUCUGGGUCUGUCGCAUGAUGGGUCUGGGAAAGAUAUUGUUUCGGUGGGGGAUGGGCUCGCGGCCUAACAGCUUGUUGGUGGGGUGAUGGCCUACCAAGGCGGUGAAGGCUAGCCGGCCUGAGAGGAUUGACGAUAACAGUGGAACUGAGACACGGCCAAGACUCGUACGGGAGGCAGCAGAGGGGAAUAUUGGACGAUGGGCGUAAGCCUAUUGCAGCGACGACGCGUGAGGGAUGGAGACCUUCGCGUUGUAAACGUCUUUCGCGAGUGACGCACGCCUGCCUCGUUUGUGGGUGGGUUGACGGUAGCUGGAUAAGAAGCGCCGGCUAACUACGUG
rnacentral:rRNA from 1 species